rnacentral:misc_RNA from 1 species
GUUUGAACAAAAAUAUAAAUUACAAAAGAGUUCCUUGAAAAUAUACCACAACUUCUCUGAACAAGGAAACUGAAUGCACCUAGUAAGUUGAUAUAUACUCUGCUAAUCCAUUCUGAAAGAUCUGCAAACUGAAAAUAGAUAGAAGAGUGCAUUACAAGCAAAUCCUGCUGCUGAUUGUUUGUGUCAUUUAGUUGAAUGCUCAGCACUACGCCUCUCUGUUAAAAAGUGAAGGCACGGUCUAUCUUGAAAUGACUUUCAUGAAGCGGUUUAUAGAAGAGAAGAUUCCAGCUGCUUGAUUUAACAGUGAGGGGCCUUUAUCUUCCUUCUCAUCCACACCUCCAUAAAUUAUCUCCAGAUCUUCUAUAGUUGGACGGCUGAUCUGCUCCUUGGCCAGAAGAUAUCUGUUUGGUCGGUCCUUAUCAUCAUAGAACACUUUCCACAAUCCGGGAUAACAUCUAAAUACAGCGCCAUCUGGUAGAGGUCUCAUUGAGUAAGCCACAGUGAAGGUGCUUAAAAAAUUGCGCCGCAGCCUACGUACAUUGAUCCCCACUCCGACAUCCUCACUAAUUAGACGCGGGUUCCACAUGAUAAGAGGCCUAGGCGGGUCAUCUGAGAGAUCGGAUGCAAUUUUCUCUACAUAUUCCAGCAUCUGAUAAUCAGGAACUACCAUGACUACAAUUUCGUCUUCCUUACUUACUGGCUUCCGAUCCCCUAGACUGGCGAAUUCAAAUGUAGCAUCUUUCCACCGAUAUUUCAGGAGUGCGGCAGCUCCAGCAUCUGGAAAAAUGGCUUUAACUCUCUCACAUCCCGUCUCCUCAAUAAGUGUUUCCAAAAAUGUUCUUGAUAGUUCCCAUAAUUCAGCUUGUGCACCCUCAUCAUCAAGAAACUGAAGCUGUGGUAUUAAGAGCUCAACAAUGGCUCUUAUUCCUCCUGAAGAUACAAAAGAGGCAGCUGCUUGGCCCGACUGCUGAACGGCACCCUCCAAAUCAGAAGGCAGGCAGCUGUCAUCUUCUUCUUGAUCCUCCUCCUCCACUGUUUGCAAUUGUGGGUCUGGUUCAAGAUUUUCUUGUCCUUGAAAUUUGUCAAAUUUGGCAUGGGUUCUUGAACUGGGAACGGAUUUAUGGAGUGAAAUUCCAGAAAACCCACGAGUAUUUAAGGGGUAAAUAGAUGAAGAGAAGGGAGUUUUGAAGGACGGUUUCGGUAUUGGAG